rnacentral:rRNA from 1 species
CAAAAAAAAAACACAUAGAUAACCUACCUCUAAGACUUGGAUAACUUCGUGAAACCGCAUCUCAUCCCGGAUACUAUUUUUAACCGCCUGGUUCAAAAUUUAUAGACAGUCUUGCUGUCACUUAUAGAUGUAUCCGCGCUGCAUUAGCUACUUGGUAAGGUAACGGCUUACCAAGGCAACGAGGCAUAGCCGACCUGAUAGGGUGAUCGGCAAAAAUGGAAAUGAGACACGGUCCAGACUCUUACGGGAGGCAGAAGUAGGGAAUCUUCAGCAAUGGGCGAAAGCCUGAUGGAGCAAAGCCGCGUGAGUGAUGAAGGUCUUUGUAUUUUAUAAUGCUGCGA